rnacentral:lncRNA from 1 species
AUCUGAAAGCCAGAGGUGCAGGCACAUUGCUGAUGCACUGUAAUCCGUACAGUACGCAAGGGAGGAGGGACCAGGAGAGGCAAACUGAAGCUCUCCCCCAAAGGCACUCUAGUCAUCCGAGGUCUUGACUUCCAGAAGACUUUCUGCCUUAGUCUAGUUUCCUGAGCAGUCUUUGCUGACACGGUGCUCGGCAUCAAGACCAGAAGCUAGGAUGGGAGAAGCUGUAUUAAUUCAGUUUCGUGUUUUAGCCGGUGUUUGUUUCCCCUUUGUGGUCUGCAAAUAUUCAGUAAAGUCUUCUUCAAAUGGUUCUGCUCUUUGUUAGCAACGUGCUGCUAAUUAAGAAAAGGUUCCAUGUAUGUUCACUUAGACGCCAGUGUUAGUGGACAUUCCCUGUCUGUCCCCAUGUCACCCCAGCCUAUUGACAACAUUAAUUGGUGGGUUUCUCUCCCUUCAACCUCCAGGAGCAUCAUGGCACAGUGUUUCUUGAUGGGGCGCCGUUGCAUGGAGGGCAGGACAGUUCUUCCUUAAGUGAGGACUAUCCACCGUGUCACAGAACCUUUACAAUUCCUGGGCCCCACCCACUCAGUGCUAGUCGGGUCCAAUGGUCUUCGUAACAGCCAAAGUACCCAGGGGUGGAGGGGCGGGGGGCCAGUCAGCCUCUACUGAGAACGACUGGCAAUGAAAAGGGUAGUAUUAAGAGGCAAACCAACCUCGCCAAUCUUAGGCAAAUUACUUCCCUUCUUCUAGAUUUAGUUUCCUCAUCUAUAAAGCAGGGGUCAUUUCUUCUUCUCCAGGUCACUGGUGGUAUUAGUGGUAAUGUAUGUGCAUUGCCUGGCAGAGAACUCAGUCAGAAGAAGGGGCUGGCUCAGCCUCAGGAUUGAGAGAGGACUCGGAAACCAGACACCAGCAGAUCUAGAUGCCCCGAGGAAAUAACUGUUGUGCUCCAGGGCAACCUUGAUGUGAAAUCUCAGCCCACCAGUGUCUUGUGGCUUCUGUUAAAUGUGCAAGAAUAGAAAGUUAGCCUCUUUAGAAAAUUUUUGCAUGAAACCGCACUUAAUUAUUCCUUUCCUGGCCUUCCUAAUAUAGAGAUGUCUCUCUGUGCAUUUUUUUAGGGAUUUUUUUUUUUCUUUGCUCAAGCAAUUGAAUGUUUCUACCGCUACACACUUUACUAAAACCAGCAUAAAAAGUUAUAAUUUUGCUCGCUCACAAAUGGCUUGCUGGGGCCAAUGAAAGCUUCACUCUUAAGAACCAGAAUAGCUGCAGGGUAGGUUCAGUGCAAUGACUCUUCAUCCUACACAGUCGGCCUCAUACAUCACUGCAUUCUGUAUGGCUGGUCCAGCUUAACGCUACUUUAAAACAGCAUUUUAAAAUCUUGCCUUCCAUUGAAAAUGUACUCUUCUAUAGUCUCUGGAGUUCCCGUCGUGGCUCAGUGGUUAACGAAUCUGACUAGGAACCAUGAGGUUUCGGGUUUGAUCCCUGGCCUUGCUCAGUGGGUUAAUGAUCCCGUCAGCGUUGCCGUGAGCUGUGGUGUAGGUUGCAGACGCGGCUCGGAUCCUGAGUUGCUGUGGAUCUGGUGUAGGCCGGCGGCUACAGCUCCAAUUCGACCCCUAGUCUGGGAACCUCCAUAUGCCGCGGGAGCGGCCCAAGAAAUG